rnacentral:rRNA from 1 species
UACGUAGGUGACCAGCGUUGUCCGGAUUUACUGGGCGUAAAGAGCGCGCAGGCGGUCGUUCAAGUCGAGUGUGAAAGCCCCCGGCUCAACUGGGGAGGGUCAUUCGAUACUGAUCGACUGGAAGGCAGGAGAGGGAAGCGGAAUUCCCGGUGUAGUGGUGAAAUGCGUAGAUAUCGGGAGGAACACCAGUGGCGAAGGCAGCCUUCUGGGCCAACACUGACGCUCAUGCACGAAAGCGUGGGGAGCAAACAGG